UCCCACCACCAUGGGAACCUGUUACUAAAAUGUUUGGAUCCCACCACUGACCACAUUCUAUAACAUUUGGAAGUCCACCAGAAGAAAAAUCCUCAGCAUUUAACAAAACUUGCCCUGCUUAUUAUGUGUGUGUGUUUUACAAACAGCCAGCGAACGGGCAGCCAGCGACAAACUGGGGAUGCUGUGUUGGUGUGCAGAACUGCAUGAGGAUAGUGGGAUGCUUUAACUCUUUCCUUCCUUGAAAUUUAUCCCUGAAAAAAAAAACACCGUCCCCCCAAAUUGUGUUUACUUUUUCCAGUGAAAAUUUAUGAGUACCUGUAUUUUUUUUCCCCAGUGGGAGUUAAAGGAACUCAGGGUGUCUUUUUCCAGUGACAAAAUGGGAGGGGAAUAAAGAGUUAAUAUUUUCCACUCAGCCCACACUUUUCUGCUCCUUGAUAAAGCGAUCCCAGAGGCUGCAUUUGCCAAAUAAAAAAAGUGGGCACAACAAGGAAGUCAAAGAAAUAUUAAUCCUUAGACCACAUAAUCCAUAAUCUACAAUAAAGAAAAGAAAUUAGUUGAACCUUAACAUAUACUUACUGCAUUGGGGAAUACUCUGUAAUGAGAAGCCACGAAGUCUUCAAGCAUUGUCUUUGGCAGGGGGCAGAGAAAUGGAUCUGCCCAUCAGGACGUGAGGUUAGGAUCCUGACUGCUUAGUUUACUUUUCACAUUAUUACCAUUGUCCCAUAUUACAUACAGAGUGAUUAACUGAAGUCCUGCAGUCAAAACUCCUCUUACAAGCUAUAGUUGAGCCAGACAGGAGUUAGUUUCAGGAAGAUGGCCCAAAGUUGUCUCCAACUUCCAUCUUCCAAAGUCAGUAAACUGCGUGCCUAGAUCCAUGGAAACAAAGUAUAUUGGGGAAGGCAAUGGCAAACUAAAACAGUCUGCUUAGCAAACGUGAUGCAAUGUCACCUCAAGGGUCAGUAAUGACCUGGUGCUUGCUCGGGGGGGGGGGGCACACUACCUUUACCUUUAUCUCAUAUUACAUGAACUCAUAUCAAAUAACUUUUGCAUGACCUAAAUUUUGUUGGUUUGCAGAAACGUUCUGUUGGAAUUGCACAUUUCUGCCUCUUGAGCUGCACACUUUUUAUCCCCUUUUGAU